CCUACGGGAGGCAGCAGUGAGGAAUAUUGGUCAAUGGACGCAAGUCUGAACCAGCCAAGCCGCGUGAAGGAAGACGGCUCUAUGAGUUGUAAACUUCUUUUGUACGGGGGUAAACGCAGAUACGCGUACCUGACUGAAAGUACCGUACGAAUAAGGAUCGGCUAACUCCGUGCCAGCAGCCGCGGUAAUACGGAGGAUUCGAGCGUUAUCCGGAUUUAUUGGGUUUAAAGGGUGCGUAGGCGGUGGGUUAAGUUAGUGGUGAAAUGCCGGGGCUCAACCGCGGAAUUGCAUUUGAUACUGGUCGGCUUGAGAGUAGUAGAGGUAGGCGGAAUGCGUGGUGUAGCGGUGAAAUGCUUAGAGAUC
rnacentral:rRNA from 1 species